AACGAACGCUGGCGGCAGGCCUAACACAUGCAAGUCGAGCGAGACCUUCGGGUCUAGCGGCGGACGGGUUAGUAACGCGUGGGAACGUGCCCUUCUCUGCGGAAUAGCCACUGGAAACGGUGAGUAAUACCGCAUACGCCCUUCGGGGGAAAGAGUUUAUCGGAGAAGGAUCGGCCCGCGUUAGAUUAGAUAGUUGGUGGGUAACGGCCUACCAAGUCUACGAUCUAUAGCUGGGUUUUAGAGGAUGAUCAGCAACACUGGGACUGAGACACGGCCCAGACUCCUACGGGAGGCAGCAGUGGGGAAUCUUAGACAAUGGGCGCAAGCCUGAUCUAGCCAUGCCGCGUGUGUGAUGAAGGUCUUAGGAUCGUAAAGCACUUUCGCCAGGGAUGAUAAUGACAGUACCUGGUAAAGAAACCCCGGCUAACUCCGUG
rnacentral:rRNA from 1 species